rnacentral:sRNA from 1 species
CUUCGUCUUGAACUCCUUCCUUAUAGCCAUCCUCUGUGCGGGCCUAUAUGCGGCGAUACGCCAGAAUCUCAAGCUUAUGCAAAUGCUUAUUUUCGCAUUGGUAAGCUACUUCCUGGAAAGAUGUCGCUCUGGA